GGGUUGUGAGGUUAAGCGACUAAGCGUACACGGUGGAUGCCCUGGCAGUCAGAGGCGAUGAAGGGCGUGCUAAUCUGCGAUAAGCGCCGGUAAGGUGAUAUGAACCGUUAUAACCGGCGAUACCCGAAUGGGGAAACCCAGUGUGAUUCGUCACACUAUCAUUAACUGAAUCCAUAGGUUAAUGAGGCGAACCGGGGGAACUGAAACAUCUAAGUACCCCGAGGAAAAGAAAUCAACCGAGAUUCCCCCAGUAGCGGCGAGCGAACGGGGAGGAGCCCAGAGCCUGAAUCAGCAUGUGUGUUAGUGGAAGCGUCUGGAAAGGCGCGCGAUACAGGGUGACAGCCCCGUACACAAAAGCGCAUGUGCUGUGAGCUCGAUGAGUAGGGCGGGACACGUGGUAUCCUGUCUGAAUAUGGGGGGACCAUCCUCCAAGGCUAAAUACUCCUGACUGACCGAUAGUGAACCAGUACCGUGAGGGAAAGGCGAAAAGAACCCCGGCGAGGGGAGUGAAAAAGAACCUGAAACCGUGUACGUACAAGCAGUGGGAGCNNNNNNNNNNNNNNNNNNNNNNNNNNNNNNNNNNNNNNNNNGGGCGUUAAGUUGCAGGGUAUAGACCCGAAACCCGGUGAUCUAGCCAUGGGCAGGUUGAAGGUUGGGUAACACUAACUGGAGGACCGAACCGACUAAUGUUGAAAAAUUAGCGGAUGACCUGUGGCUGGGGGUGAAAGGCCAAUCAAACCGGGAGAUAGCUGGUUCUCCCCGAAAGCUAUUUAGGUAGCGCCUCGUGAAUUCAUCUCCGGGGGUAGAGCACUGUUUCGGCUAGGGGGCCAUCCCGGCUUACCAACCCGAUGCAAACUGCGAAUACCGGAGAAUGUUAUCACGGGAGACACACGGCGGGUGCUAACGUCCGUCGUGAAGAGGGAAACAACCCAGACCGCCAGCUAAGGUCCCAAAGUCAUGGUUAAGUGGGAAACGAUGUGGGAAGGCCCAGACAGCCAGGAUGUUGGCUUAGAAGCAGCCAUCAUUUAAAGAAAGCGUAAUAGCUCACUGGUCGAGUCGGCCUGCGCGGAAGAUGUAACGGGGCUAAACCAUGCACCGAAGCUGCGGCAGCGACACUGUGUGUUGUUGGGUAGGGGAGCGUUCUGUAAGCCUGCGAAGGUGGCCUGUGAGGGUUGCUGGAGGUAUCAGAAGUGCGAAUGCUGACAUAAGUAACGAUAAAGCGGGUGAAAAGCCCGCUCGCCGGAAGACCAAGGGUUCCUGUCCAACGUUAAUCGGGGCAGGGUGAGUCGACCCCUAAGGCGAGGCCGAAAGGCGUAGUCGAUGGGAAACGGGUUAAUAUUCCCGUACUUGGUGUUACUGCGAAGGGGGGACGGAGAAGGCUAUGUUGGCCGGGCGACGGUUGUCCCGGUUUAAGCGUGUAGGUGUGUGUUCCAGGUAAAUCCGGUUCACUUUAACACUGAGGCGUGACGACGAGGCACUACGGUGCUGAAGCAACAAAUGCCCUGCUUCCAGGAAAAGCCUCUAAGCAUCAGGUAACAUCAAAUCGUACCCCAAACCGACACAGGUGGUCAGGUAGAGAAUACCAAGGCGCUUGAGAGAACUCGGGUGAAGGAACUAGGCAAAAUGGUGCCGUAACUUCGGGAGAAGGCACGCUGACACGUAGGUGAAGUGAUUUACUCAUGGAGCUGAAGUCAGUCGAAGAUACCAGCUGGCUGCAACUGUUUAUUAAAAACACAGCACUGUGCAAACACGAAAGUGGACGUAUACGGUGUGACGCCUGCCCGGUGCCGGAAGGUUAAUUGAUGGGGUCAGCGCAAGCGAAGCUCCUGAUCGAAGCCCCGGUAAACGGCGGCCGUAACUAUAACGGUCCUAAGGUAGCGAAAUUCCUUGUCGGGUAAGUUCCGACCUGCACGAAUGGCGUAAUGAUGGCCAGGCUGUCUCCACCCGAGACUCAGUGAAAUUGAACUCGCUGUGAAGAUGCAGUGUACCCGCGGCAAGACGGAAAGACCCCGUGAACCUUUACUAUAGCUUGACACUGAACAUUGAGCCUUGAUGUGUAGGAUAGGUGGGAGGCUUUGAAGUGUGGACGCCAGUCUGCAUGGAGCCGACCUUGAAAUACCACCCUUUAAUGUUUGAUGUUCUAACGUGGACCCGUUACCCGGGUUGCGGACAGUGUCUGGUGGGUAGUUUGACUGGGGCGGUCUCCUCCUAAAGAGUAACGGAGGAGCACGAAGGUUGGCUAAUCCUGGUCGGACAUCAGGAGGUUAGUGCAAUGGCAUAAGCCAGCUUGACUGCGAGCGUGACGGCGCGAGCAGGUGCGAAAGCAGGUCAUAGUGAUCCGGUGGUUCUGAAUGGAAGGGCCAUCGCUCAACGGAUAAAAGGUACUCCGGGGAUAACAGGCUGAUACCGCCCAAGAGUUCAUAUCGACGGCGGUGUUUGGCACCUCGAUGUCGGCUCAUCACAUCCUGGGGCUGAAGUAGGUCCCAAGGGUAUGGCUGUUCGCCAUUUAAAGUGGUACGCGAGCUGGGUUUAGAACGUCGUGAGACAGUUCGGUCCCUAUCUGCCGUGGGCGCUGGAGAACUGAGGGGGGCUGCUCCUAGUACGAGAGGACCGGAGUGGACGCAUCACUGGUGUUCGGGUUGUCAUGCCAAUGGCACUGCCCGGUAGCUAAAUGCGGAAGAGAUAAGUGCUGAAAGCAUCUAAGCACGAAACUUGCCCCGAGAUGAGUUCUCCCUGAGACUUAGAGUCUCCUGAAGGAACGUUGAAGACGACGACGUUGAUAGGCCGGGUGUGUAAGCGCAGCGAUGCGUUGAGCUAACCGGUACUAAUGAACCGUGAGGCUUAACCUUACAACGCCGAAG
rnacentral:rRNA from 1 species